GAUGAACGCUGGCGGCGUGCUUAACACAUGCAAGUCGAACGGAAAGGCCGAAGCUUGCUUCGGUACUCGAGUGGCGAACGGGUGAGUAACACGUGGGUGAUCUGCCCUGUACUUCGGGAUAAGCUUGGGAAACUGGGUCUAAUACCGGAUAUGACGAUCUCUUGGAUGGGGUUGUGGAAAGCUUUUGCGGUAUGGGAUGAGCUCGCGGCCUAUCAGCUUGUUGGUGGGGUAAUGGCCUACCAAGGCGUCGACGGGUAGCCGGCCUGAGAGGGUGUACGGCCACAUUGGGACUGAGAUACGGCCCAGACUCCUACGGGAGGCAGCAGUGGGGAAUAUUGCACAAUGGGCGCACGCCUGAUGCAGCGACGCCGCGUGGGGGAUGACGGCCUUCGGGUUGUAAACUCCUUUCGCAAUCGACGAAGCCUUUUGGUGACGGUAGGUUGAGAAGAAGCACCGGCUAACUACGUG
rnacentral:rRNA from 1 species